rnacentral:lncRNA from 1 species
GAAGAUUCGCUUAAGGGAAAAUCUUCCUUGAAGACUAUAGAUGUCAGGACCAAUGGCGAGAGUAAGAAGGCCAACAAUGGAAAUCACCAUACAUCUCCAUCAUCACAGGUGGAACACCCUGGGAAAACCUCUAAUCCAAAGGGAUCAUGAAGCUGAAGAUAAUUGAGAUGCUACCCGUCGACAAGAAGGAUGGAAUCAUAUUGGUGAAGAAACCUGAUUAGCCUAUGUUAGGAUUUCGGGACUCUGAGAAGCUGGGCGGCAUCCCUAAUGAAAAUUUUCCUCUAGUAAUCAAAACCAUGUUGGGAAGUUUGACGUCUCCUAGAUAUUAAUUGACGGUUACAACUCCUACAACAUAAUGUACUCAGACAUGUUUGAAAAGAUGGGCAUCGAAAGAGGAAACUUAUGCCCAUAUGAAGGCUCAGAUUCACUGGCAUUUAAU